GAUGAACGCUGGCGGCGUGCCUAAUACAUGCAAGUCGAGCGAACAGACGAGGAGCUUGCUCCUCUGACGUUAGCGGCGGACGGGUGAGUAACACGUGGAUAACCUACCUAUAAGACUGGGAUAACUUCGGGAAACCGGAGCUAAUACCGGAUAAUAUAUUGAACCGCAUGGUUCAAUAGUGAAAGACGGUUUUGCUGUCACUUAUAGAUGGAUCCGCGCCGCAUUAGCUAGUUGGUAAGGUAACGGCUUACCAAGGCAACGAUGCGUAGCCGACCUGAGAGGGGGAACCGGCAACCCGGAACUGAGAACCGGUCCCGGAUCCUACGGGAGGCAGGAGGAGGGAAUCUUCCGGAAAGGGCGAAAGCCUGAAGGAGGAACGGCGGGUGGGUGAAGAAGGGCUUCGGGUCGGAAAACCCUUUUAUUAGGGAAAAACAAAUGUGUAAGUAACUAAGCCCGGCUUGACGGGACCUAAACAGAAAGCCCCGGCUAACCUCGG
rnacentral:rRNA from 1 species